AUGUAUAUAAACGACGCGAUUUUCCCCGAUAUCUCACAAUACAUAACAAAUAGAAAUAGUUUUUAAGACACGCAAGUAAAUUAUCAUAUAUCUUUCGACAAUGAGAAUUUUCUAUUUUCUUUUUGUGCUUCUUGCAAUUAUUGUAAGCGCUUCAUUUGCUCAAACUGCUCCAGGAUGCAUUGAAGAUGACUGCAAAAAAAGUUGUCAAAAAAUUAACCACGGUUUACCAGGAAAUAGUGAUGGAAAAUACUGUAACAAAGUCACUAAUUCAUGUAAAUGCAGUUAAAUCAUUCACAAAAAUUUUACUUCUUAAAAAUACAUCCAACAACAUGUAAAAAAAAAAGAAAUUCUGUGAAAAUAAAAUAAAAAAAAAAAAUUUUUUUUUAAUAUUCAACCAAAUACAUAAAAUGUUCCUUCAAUUUUUCAAUAAUAAAAAUUCGUUAAUAAAUA